rnacentral:rRNA from 1 species
UAUUGCACAAUGGGGGAAACCCUGAUGCAGCGACGCCGCGUGAGUGAAGAAGUAUUUCGGUAUGUAAAGCUCUAUCAGCAGGAACGAGACAAGACGGUACCUGACUAAGAAGCCCCGGCUAACUACGUGCCAGCAGCCGCGGUAAUACGUAGGGGGCAAGCGUUAUCCGGAUUUACUGGGUGUAAAGGGAGCGUAGACGGCAGAGCAAGUCUGAAGUGAAAGCCCGCGGCCCAACUGCGGGACUGCUUUGGAAACUGCCCGGCUAGAGUGCUGGAGAGGUAAGCGGGAUUCCUAGUGUAGCGGUGAAAUGCGUAGAUAUUAGGAGGAACACCAGUGGCGAAGGCGGCUUACUGGACAGUAACUGACGUUGAGGCUCGAAAGCGUGGGGAGCAAACAGG